UCCAUUAGGCAGCAGCUGGGGGAAGAAUCAACACACCAGGGAGCGGAGCGGCGCGGAGCGAGCACCGAGGCGGCCGCUGCCUCCGCCGCCGCCGCCGCCGCCUCCUCCGCCGCCUCCGCCGCCGCCGCUGUCCCGGGCUCCAGCGUCGGGCCCGCGCCCCCCCCAGUGCCCGCGAGCCCCCGGGCCGCGCCGCGAGCGCCUCCGGAGGGGGGGGGAAGGGCCCGGUCCUCCUUCUCCCCCUCCUCCCGCCCCGCCGACCCCCGCCGCGCCCCGCCGGCCUCCCACCACGGCCUCUCUCGGCGAGGAAACUCUGGCCUCCGCUUCCUCCUCCUCCGACUCGGACGCCGGCGGAGCCUCCCCGCCCCCGCGGAAGAAGCCCCGAGCCUCGGCGGCGGAGGGAGCAGGAGAGCCCGGGGCCUCGGCCGGCCGAGCAGGCCUCCCCCCCCCGCCCUCGCCCUCGCCCUCGCCCUCGCCGGCCGCCUCCUCCUCCGUGGUGGUGGUGGUGGGACUGCCUCCGGCCGCCCCCGCCGCCCCGCAGCGGAGCAGCGGCCACAGCCUGGUCAGCGGCGGCACCAUGCAGGCCAACGGGGCGGGAGGAGGCGGCGGCGGGGGCGGCGGGGGCCAGGGCCAGACCCCGGAGCUCGCCUGCCUGUCGGCGCAGAACGGGGAGUCGUCCCCGUCGGCGACGUCCGCGGGGGACCUGGCCCACGCCAACGGGCUCCUGCCUGCCGCCCCCUCCGCCGCUGGCAACAAUAGCAACAGCCUGAGUGUCAAUAACGGGGUUCCCGGCGGGGCCUCCGCGGCCUCCGCCGCCGCCGCCGCCCAGGCCACCCCCGAGCUGGGCAGCAGCCUCAAGAAGAAGAAGCGGCUCUCGCAGUCCGAUGAGGAUGUCAUUAGGCUCAUAGGACAGCACCUCAAUGGCCUAGGGCUCAACCAGACUGUUGAUCUCCUCAUGCAAGAGUCAGGAUGUCGGUUAGAGCAUCCUUCUGCUACCAAAUUCCGAAAUCAUGUCAUGGAAGGAGACUGGGAUAAGGCAGAAAAUGACCUGAAUGAACUAAAGCCUUUAGUACAUUCUCCUCAUGCUAUUGUGGUAAGAGGCGCACUUGAAAUCUCUCAAACGUUGUUGGGAAUAAUUGUGAGGAUGAAGUUUCUGCUGCUGCAGCAAAAGUACCUGGAAUACCUGGAGGACGGCAAGGUGCUGGAGGCACUUCAAGUUCUACGCUGCGAACUGACGCCGCUGAAGUAUAAUACAGAACGCAUCCAUGUUCUUAGUGGGUAUCUGAUGUGUAGCCAUGCAGAAGACCUCCGGGCAAAAGCUGAGUGGGAAGGCAAGGGGACGGCUUCCCGGUCCAAACUGCUGGACAAGCUUCAGACCUAUUUACCAGCAUCAGUGAUGCUUCCCCCACGGCGUUUACAGACUCUCCUGCGGCAGGCGGUGGAGCUACAGAGGGAUCGGUGCCUAUAUCACAAUACCAAACUUGACAACAAUCUAGAUUCUGUGUCUCUACUUAUAGAUCAUGUUUGUAGUAGGAGGCAGUUUCCCUGUUACACUCAGCAGAUACUUACAGAGCAUUGUAAUGAGGUGUGGUUCUGUAAAUUCUCUAAUGAUGGCACUAAACUAGCAACAGGAUCAAAGGAUACCACAGUUAUCAUAUGGCAAGUUGAUCCGGAUACACACCUGUUAAAACUGCUUAAAACGUUAGAAGGACAUGCGUAUGGCGUCUCCUACAUAGCAUGGAGUCCAGAUGACAGCUACCUUGUUGCUUGUGGUCCAGAUGACUGCUCGGAGCUUUGGCUUUGGAAUGUACAGACGGGAGAAUUGAGAACAAAAAUGAGCCAAUCUCAUGAAGACAGUUUGACCAGUGUGGCCUGGAAUCCAGACGGGAAACGCUUUGUGACGGGAGGUCAGCGUGGUCAGUUCUACCAGUGUGACCUGGACGGCAAUCUUCUGGACUCCUGGGAAGGAGUGCGAGUGCAAUGCCUGUGGUGCUUGAGUGACGGCAAGACUGUGCUGGCUUCGGACACGCACCAGAGAGUCCGGGGCUACAACUUUGAGGACCUGACAGAUAGAAACAUAGUACAAGAAGAUCAUCCUAUUAUGUCAUUUACUAUUUCAAAAAAUGGCCGAUUAGCUUUGUUAAAUGUAGCAACUCAGGGAGUUCAUUUGUGGGACUUGCAAGACAGAGUUUUAGUAAGGAAGUACCAAGGUGUUACCCAAGGGUUUUAUACAAUUCAUUCGUGCUUUGGAGGCCAUAAUGAAGACUUCAUCGCCAGCGGCAGUGAAGAUCACAAGGUUUACAUCUGGCACAAACGUAGUGAACUGCCAAUUGCGGAGCUCACGGGGCACACGCGCACAGUAAAUUGUGUUAGCUGGAACCCACAGAUUCCAUCCAUGAUGGCCAGUGCCUCAGACGAUGGCACUGUUAGAAUAUGGGGACCAGCGCCUUUCAUAGACCACCAGAAUAUUGAAGGGAAGGAACCAAAAUAUGGCAGAGCUCGUUAACUUGUUGAACGCUGCCAUUUCGGCAGAUCUAGGUCUGGAAGGUUCCCCACCACCUUGGUACUUGAAGAUGAAGAAAGUCAUAAAGCUAACAGAUGAGGACAAAUUCUUGAUUAAAUAUAAUAGUACUAGAGAGAAGUAAUAAAUUUUAUAGGAAUGCAGUAGCAUGGAUAGUUGAUGGCGAAUUUGGAGCAGACGACUUCUGUUUAACUUAAAAUUAGUCGUAUUUUAAUGGCUUGGGAUUUGGUGCAAACAAACAUGAUUGAUAGCUGGACAGACAUGCUCGUCAUGAAAAAAAAAAGAACCAUUUUGAAGCCCGAUUGGGGCCAAACAUUUACACCUUGCUUCAUAGUAACCAGUUGAUGAAGCACGUCUUAGAACGUUGUUGGACACCAUGUUGAAUUAUUCCCCAUCGGUUGUGAAGGACUGUGCUACAUUCAGGCUUACCCAUUGAACUCAGUAUAUAUAUUUUUUCCCUCCUGCCUUUUGUCUGGUGGGACACCAUUCUUGUUGCUCUUCUGUGUAAUGAAGUUCAAAUGCUUGUUUGGAAACUUUAUUUAACAGUGUAGAAGGCUUGAUAGCAAGAGCUCAUUAGUCUGAAGAGUGUCCAUUGGACAGGAAAGAAUUUCCUUUUGUUUCUCCAAAUCUUCCCGCCUUAUUUAGCUUGAGAUCUUUGCAGCUUGGUUCAUGGAUUCUAGCCUUGCCCGUUGCGCAGUAUAUACUGAUCAGAUGAUAAACCAGUGAACUAUGUCAAAAGCACUCUCAAUAUUACAUUUGACAAAAAGUUUUGUACUUUUCACAUAGCUUGUUGCCCCGUAAAAGGGUUAACAGCACAAUUUUUUAAAAAUAAAUUAAGAAGUAUUUAUAGGAUUAAAGUGACUUCAUUUGUAUACAUUUGGAAUCUAAACCAGCUUAAAAACCGUGUCCUUCCUCUGUGGCUGAGAUGUGCAGGGUAACUGAUGCUCUUCUGGAGUGCCACGUGACACAUGGCAUGGUCAGAAACAGUGUUCAGAGGGACACGGCCCAGGAAAGCCAGAGAGAGACUUUAAAGGUUUCCCCUUUUUAUUUCAUUCUCGGAGGGACAUCAGUACCUGAUACUGAAGAAAUUCAAGAUUCAAAAGGAAAAUUUUAUAAAUAAACCAACACGGGAGAUCAGCAUCAGUCUAGGUUUUCAAGAAAGCUUGUUCCAGGUUCUUCUGAACUUGGGGAAAAUGUGAUCUAGCAAAAGUAGACAUGAGAAAAUAGACUUGGGAUUUAUAGUGUAGUUGAAUCUUAGAGGAAGUCAGCAGGCUACAAACAUGUAUGUAAACUGGAACUAAAGCCUGAGGCAUUUCUCCUAGUUGCCCUUAAUGUCCAGCACAUAGGGACACUCAUUCAAAGAAGGUCCCUCUCAGCUUCUCAGAUGUUGCCAUAAUGAACCUCAUUCAAACUGGUGCUGUGCACGGUCCUUCCCUCCCCCUCCCCUUUUAGUUUACGGGAAUGUUUCCUUUAUGGAAAAAAAAAAGACUUGUCAUUUUGAAGACCCUAUAUCUAACAUAAGCCUGAUUGAUGCUCAUGGUGUGUUUUCAACCUCAUAAUUGCUGGGUCUAACAGUCUCCCUUGAAAUCCAUGUUUUCCAGUAGGGGAUAACCAGGGUGACCACAGCUGUUUGAAAGAGAAGUGGCAUUACUCCCAAUGUAUCCUGGUGAACAAAAACAGAUCUUAUACAACUUGCCCUUGAGGCUGAGCCAAGUCCAUAGCAUUCACCAUGCUCAUCCCCCUCAGGAUCCUGAGAGGAGAGAGAGGCUUGUGCUGAGGGAGCUUUCCACUGUGGGGGUCAUAGGGAGGGAAGAGCCAGGAAGAGGGAGAAGGGAACACAUUUGGCCUUAAGACAGUGUUCAUUCUCCCAAAGCCCAUAGUUAGGAGAUGACAGAUCGUAGUCAGCAGGUUAUUAAUUCAAAUGGGUAUGUAAAAGAUUCCUUUAAGCUUCAUUUUUCAGAGACCACCACUUUAGAAAAUCAGAGAAAUCCUGUUUUGAUACUUCUUAGUUAAAGUACUAUGUUACCGUUUAUCUGGUACUUCAUUUUCUUGACUAAAAUUACUUUUCACUUUAAGCUUGAAUAAAAGUUUUCAUUCAUAACUGUA